CGGAUGCGCACCCUCUCACCGGCAACCAUACCUGAGUGCCUGAUCAGGUCAAAAGCAGAAUGGCAGAAGAGCGAACGGAAGCAAGAACUAAAAAAAUUGUGACCAUGUGGGGGAUCUAUUGGUUAUUCCGGGGAAUAUCUCAGAAUAUACACCUAGUAUCGAAAUUUUCGGGUGAUAAGGGGCUGCAGAAAAGGUUAUGACAAAAAUUACGGUAGCUGUCUUAGAUGCGGAGAUAUUUAACUGAUAAAUCAGGGAAGUAUCAGAGCGAAGAGGUAAAGUUGUGGUUGGAGGUAAAGUGAUUUGCGGAGAACGGAAACGAUCGAUUAAAAAUAAAAUGAGGAGAGGGGAUUGUACUGAGUACCGCGUAUGAAAUUACUUCAGAUGUAUGAUCUAUUGAUACGGGUUAAUCGAUGACCCCUUGGGUAGGGGAUCUCGAUCACGCGGAAUCACUGGCCAAUGACGCGUGUAAUGGAAAAAACAAAACAGCAUUUUAAUGCGUCUUAAUGUUCAAUGUUUUUCGAUCUGACAUUGAUUAACAAAAAGACAUUAGUCUCUACCGCGACUUGACACGUGCUUCACACGAUAUUUUGUCUUACUUCAAUUAUUGUCAAAACCACAAAAUUUGUAAUUGAAUUAUUCCUGUAAUUAUUUCGUAAUUAAAUUAUUUUUGACCAUCAAAAAGA